rnacentral:rRNA from 1 species
GUCUUUCUGGAUUUAAAUAGUAAGUCUAUUCUGCCCCCUGAAGUUUUUAAAUGGCCGCAGUAUAUUAACUGUGCAAAGGUAGCAUAAUCAUUAGUUUUUUAAUUGGAGACUUGUAUGAAUGAUUGGACGAGAUAUAAACUGUUUCAGAAAAAAUUUUUAGAAUUUUAUUUUUUAGUUAAAAAGCUAAAAUUUUAUUAAAAGACGAGAAGACCCUAUAGAUCUUUAUUAAUUAUUUAUUAUUGUUUUUGAAGUCUUGUUUUAUAAUAAUAAUUUUAUUAAUUUUGUUGGGGUGACAUUGAAAUUUAUUUAACUUUUAAUUAGUUAAUACAUUAAUUUAUGAAUUUAUGAUCCUAUAUUAUUGAUUAAAAAUUUAAGUUACCUUAGGGAUAACAGCGUAAUUAUUUUGGAGAGUUCAUAUCGAUAAAAUAGAUUGCGACCUCGAUGUUGGAUUAAGAUUAAUUUUGGGCGUAGCCGUUCAUAGUAUUAAGUCUGUUCGACUUUUAAUUUCUU